CUACGGGACGCUCCAGUGAGGAAUUUUGCGCAAUGGGGGAAACCCUGACGCAGCAACGCCGCGUGAGUGAUGAAGGCUUUCGAGUCGUAAAGCUCUGUCAAGUGGGAAGAAUCCACAUGGUAACAAUACCACCAUGUGCUGACGGUACCACUGAAGGAAGCACCGGCUAACUCCGUGCCAGCAGCCGCGGUAAUACGGGGGGUGCAAGCGUUAUUCGGAUUCAUUGGGCGUAAAGGGCGCGCAGGCGGCCUGGUAAGUCAGAUGUGAAAGCCCGGGGCUUAACCCCGGAAGUGCAUUUGAAACUAUCAGGCUUGAGUACGGGAGAGGGUAGUGGAAUUCCUGGUGUAGAGGUGAAAUUCGUAGAUAUCAGGAGGAACACCGGUGGCGAAGGCGACUACCUGGACCAAUACUGACGCUGAGGCGCGAAGGCGUGGGGAGCAAACAGGAUUAGAUACCCGGGUAGUC
rnacentral:rRNA from 1 species